UGCAAGUCGAACGGCAGCGCGGGAGCAAUCCUGGCGGCGAGUGGCGAACGGGUGAGUAAUACAUCGGAACGUGCCCAAUCGUGGGGGAUAACGCAGCGAAAGCUGUGCUAAUACCGCAUACGAUCUACGGAUGAAAGCAGGGGAUCGCAAGACCUUGCGCGAAUGGAGCGGCCGAUGGCAGAUUAGGUAGUUGGUGAGGUAAAGGCUCACCAAGCCUUCGAUCUGUAGCUGGUCUGAGAGGACGACCAGCCACACUGGGACUGAGACACGGCCCAGACUCCUACGGGAGGCAGCAGUGGGGAAUUUUGGACAAUGGGCGAAAGCCUGAUCCAGCCAUGCCGCGUGCAGGAUGAAGGCCUUCGGGUUGUAAACUGCUUUUGUACGGAACGAAACGGCCUUUUCUAAUAAAGAGGGCUAAUGACGGUACCGUAAGAAUAAGCACCGGCUAACUACGUGCCAGCAGCCGCGGUAAUACGUAGGGUGCAAGCGUUAAUCGGAAUUACUAGGCGUAAAGCGUGCGCAGGCGGUUAUGUAAGACAGUUGUGAAAUCCCCGGGCUCAACCUGGGAACUGCAUCUGUGACUGCAUAGCUAGAGUACGGUAGAGGGGGAUGGAAUUCCGCGUGUAGCAGUGAAAUGCGUAGAUAUGCGGAGGAACACCGAUGGCGAAGGCAAUCCCCUGGACCUGUACUGACGCUCAUGCACGAAAGCGUG
rnacentral:rRNA from 1 species